UACGAAGGGUGCAAGCGUUACUCGGAAUUACUGGGCGUAAAGCGUGCGUAGGUGGUUCGUUAAGUCUGAUGUGAAAGCCCUGGGCUCAACCUGGGAACUGCAUUGGAUACUGGCGAUCUGGAGUGCGGUAGAGGGUGGCGGAAUUCCCGGUGUAGCAGUGAAAUGCGUAGAUAUCGGGAGGAACAUCCGUGGCGAAGGCGGCCACCUGGACCAGCACUGACACUGAGGCACGAAAGCGUGGGGAGCAAACAGGAUUAGAAACCCCCGUAGUCC
rnacentral:rRNA from 1 species